rnacentral:pre_miRNA from 1 species
CUAAUACUCCCUCCGUUCCGAAUUACUUGUCGCAGAUAUGGAUGUAUCUAGAUGUAUUUUAGUUCUAGAUACAUCCAUUUCUGCGACGAGUAAUUUGGAACGGAGGGAGUAGCAC